AAACUAUCUGUCGUGGGUAAUGUCCGCACACUUCCCCAUUGGCGUUAUGGAUGAUACUGUACUUGUAAUCUCUGGCAAAUAACUCCAGACAACGCCUCUCUAUCGCCUCUACCUGAAGAAAGACAACAACAAACAUAUAUGAAUGCACACCGUAAAGAUUCAAGAAGCAGCAUCAACAACUAAUGGGUUCAGCAUCUUGCCCAAGGACACUUCGGCAUGCAGAUCGUUCAGACUGGGGAUCGAACUGCCGACCUUCAGGUUUGAGGACGACCACUCUACCCCUCAGCCACAGCUGCCUAAUAGGCAGCAAAGCAGCCACAGACCAUCCCCACCCACAUUACUGCCACCAUGCUUGACAGAUGGCGUCAGGCACUCUUCCAGCAUCUUUUCACCUGUUCUGGGUCUCACAAAUGUUCUUCUGUGUGAUCCAAACACCUCAAACUUUGAUUCUUCCGUCCAUAAAUUUUUUUUCCAAACUUCCUCUGUCUAUGUCUGUGUUCCUUGACCAUAUCAAUCUUUUAUUUUUAUUGGGCAUUCUCAGAUAUUUCUUAUUCUUUGCCACUCUGCCUAGAAGGCCAGCAUCCCGGAGUCGCCUCUUCACUGUAGACGUUGAUACUGGCAUUUUGCGGGUACCAUUUAAAGAAGCUGCCAGUUGAGGACUUUUGAGGUGUCAAUUUCUCAAACUAGAGUCUCUAAUAUACUUGUCUUCUUGCUGAGUUGUGCAUCUGGGCCUCCCACUUUUCUUUCUACUCUGGUUAGAGCCAGUUUGUGGUGUUCUCUGAAGGGAGUAGUACACACAUGAAAGUUCUCAUUUUCUGGCCAUUUCGAGAGAAUAAUCAAACCCACAAAUGUGAUGCUCCAGAUACUCAACUAGCUCAAAGGAAGGCCAGUUUUAUAGCUUCUCUUACCAGCUAAACAGUUUUCAGCUGUGCUAACAUAAUUGCACAAAUGGUUUUCAAGGUUUUUCUAAUCAUCAAUUAGUCUUCUAAGGCGAUUAGCAAACACAAUGUACCAUUAGAACACUGGACAUACCUUUGUGGAUUUUUCCUUAAAAACCAGACAUUUCCACCGAGAAUAGUCAUUUACCACAUUAACAAUGUAUAGAGUGUAUUUCUGAUUAAUUUAAUGUUGAUUUCAUUGAAAAAUACAGUGCUUUUCUUUGAAUAAUAAGGACAUUUCUAAGUGACCCCAAACUUUUGAACGGUAGUGUAAAUUCUGACCCAAAAGGGUUAGGGUUAUGGUUAGGGUUAGUUCUGUAGUAAUCAAAAGUUGCACAGUAACAAGGUUGUGCAAUGCGUUGAGUAACUGGCACCCACUUGACAUAGAUGUAAGAAGUAAAAAGGGGGAAGUUUUUUACUAACCCACUGCUGCUGCAACACUUUGUUUACUUAACCAACGCUGAAUGGCAAUAACCUUUACUAUAUAAUGCUUUCAGUGGUCAUCAAGACUAGAAAAGCUUUUUAUGAAUACAGAACAUUUACCAUUUAGCCAACCUAAAACUCACACAAGCUCUGCCUUCCCCAUAAAUAUAAGCUACAGUGGUUUACAUCAAUUCAAAUUUACUUCUCUCUGUCGUUUGGGGGUGCUGUUGUGCAGAUGACCUUCCCUGAACUAUAAAUGUGUUUAUUGCUAACUUGGAUGUUUGUGCUAUAUUGUUCGGAGUGAUGUCUGUGGAGAUAGUCCUCCAGAGAUCAGACGAUGAGACAGGACUCUCUCUUGCAGUAUUUAGUAUUGCCAAGAGUGUGCAAAGCUGUCAUGCAAGCAAAAAGUCAGCUACUUUGACGAAUCUAAAAUAGGAAAAAUAUUCUGGUUUGUUGAGCAUUUUUUUUGUUUACCACAUAAUUCCAUAUGUGUUCCUUCAUAGUUUGGAUUUCUUCAAUAUUAAUCUGCAAUGUAGAAAGAAAGAAAAAUAAAGAAAAAACAUUGAAUGAGAAGGUGUAUUCAAACUUUUGACUGGUAGUGUUCAGUGACAUACUUUUGACCAUAGAUUGCAGUGGAACUGCACAUUUCUCUUACAAGUUGUUGCACAGUCUAUGACUUUGUGAGUUAGGGCCUUUUCUCGAAGGUUUGACAGCUGCUUGGCAAAAAUUUCAAAACAACUGUAAAAGGAAACAAUUAUGGAGUCAUUUUAAAUACAGAGGAAAAAACACAUUAAUUUAUAUAAACAUUUUAUGCGAA